rnacentral:rRNA from 1 species
GAUGAACGCUGGCGGCGUGCCUAAUACAUGCAAGUCGAGCGAACAGACGAGGAGCUUGCUCCUCUGACGUUAGCGGCGGACGGGUGAGUAACACGUGGAUAACCUACCUAUAAGACUGGGAUAACUUCGGGAAACCGGAGCUAAUACCGGAUAAUAUAUUCAACCGCAUGGUUCAAUAGUGAAAGACGGUUUUGCUGUCACUUAUAGAUGGAUCCGCGCCGCAUUAGCUAGUUGGUAAGGUAACGGCUUACCAAGGCAACGAUGCGUAGCCGACCUGAGAGGGUGAUCGGCCACCCUGGAACUGAGACAAGGUCCAGACUCCUACGGCAGGCAGCAGCAGGGAAUCUUCCGCCAUGGGCGAAAGCCUGACGGAGCAACGCCGCGUGAGUGAUGAAGGUCUUCGGAUCGUAAAACUCUGUUAUUAGGGAAGAACAAAUGUGUAAGUAACUAUGCACGUCUUGACGGUCCCUAAUCAGAAAGCCACGGCUAACUACGUG